UUUUUCCUCCCCAGCUCCGCCCCCGAGAUGUGGCUGCUCCUGGAAGAGGAUCCCUGCGGGGUCGGGGAGCCCCAGGGGAACGAGCCUCCAGCCGGACCCCAGCGCCCCUCGCUCUGCGUGGGGCGUCUCCGUGCCUGGAGGGCCCGCCCUCUGCAUCUCAGCCUCUGGGGAGCCCCACUCUGCUCCCGAAGUGACGGGGGACGGCCCUGGGUGAACCCCGUCAUCCCCCGUGAACUUCCAUGACGUGGCCGUGACCUUCAGCUCGGGGGAGUGGGGGCGCCUCCCAGAAGGAGCUGUCCCCGGAGGUGAUGCUGGAGAACUAGGGGCACCUGGCCAGCCUGAGUGAGGAGGGGGCGGGACCCCUUCCCUCCUCCCUGUAUUCUCUGGUGAAACUCCUGCCUGCCUGGGGGAGGAGGGGGCGGCGGCCCCCGGGGCUGCCGUGGGAGGAGGGAGCCCGCGGGGGGAGGAGGGGGCCAGGAUCUGCUCUCCUACCGCCCGGGGAGCCGCUUCGGACCCCAGGUCACGUGUCCCCGCUGCAGGCCCCCUUACAGGCCACUUUGGAGUCUCUCCUGGCCUGAUAAUUGCACGUGGUCCCUCCCUGGGACUGCAUUGGUGCUUUUGUAUCCCGGCUGUGGCACACAGUAGGCGCUUAAUAGAUGCUUGAGGCUUCAUUGAUUAAAGUCAAUACUACACGGAUGAGGCUCCAAUAUCUUUUAACAUUGUUGGGUUUUUUUGGUGACUGUGGCCCUGGGGAGCUCGGCUCUCCUGAUGCUGCGUCAGUCACAAAGGUCGUUACAAACGUCUCUGAAUUGUUGUUGCCAUCGCGUCUAACUGUACACGAACAGUUUACUCCGUCAUUACCCCAUUGAGGGGCACCCACUUUGCUUCCCUCCCUUUGGUAUCAAAGAAAUUACUGCUAGAAAUGUUUUCCAUACAUAGAACUUCCCUUUUUCUUGCAAUGGGGGGGUCUGCUCGGGCUUGGGGGCUAUGGGCCCCCUUGGUGACCAGAGGCCCCUGGUCCUUGUCCCUGAGGCUGCCCCUCCCCUACUCCAUGUUCCCUCUGCACAGGGUGGGCUCCUCUGCUUGCCACCAGGCCUCCUUCUGGGGCUGGCCUGCUGGGGUGGGAGGCCAGCCUGGAGCUCAGAGAGGCUUCUCUGGCCACAAUCAUUUUCCGUCUUCAAUGAGUAGGACUUGUGAUUUCCAAGCCAGAUGUGAUCUGCCAGUUGGAGAGAGGGGAAGGUCCCUGGAAACCAGAGGGAGAUGCCCCCCAGAGCAGCCGUGCAGAGCCCUUGGAAAUGAUCCAGAUGGAGAGCUGGAAACAGGCCCUGGAAGAGAAGUGAUUUGCCCAAGGUCGUAUAAAUAAUAUAAUAUCGGCAUAUAAGUAACAAGCAUCAGAAGAGGGAUGUGAAGCCUUUGAUUCCAGAACCAGAAUCGGGGGGGAGGGAGAAGGAAGGGGGUAUCUUGACUGUAGGAAGCACAGACUCUUUGUCAGGAUUAUCUCCAGCUCCAGUUUACACUGCAGCAUAUAUGCUGUUCAGGACAGGCUGAAAAAACUUGAAAUUCAUCUCUAAACUGAGUUAGGCAAAACAAGAAAUGAACAAUUUAAGACUCUUGAGUUCAUUGGAAAUUUUCAGUAAUUAACAUUCUAGAAAUUAUACUUAAUAAAAACGAAAGAGAAAACCCUGAUAAUGGAACAAGACAAAUAUAGCACCGAGCACAGCACUCAACUCAUUCGAAAAGGAGAAUGACAUUUGGUGCCCAAUGUGGGGCUGAAGCUGCCUCAGAUUCACCACACCCUUGAGCCUCCCUUAAGUCUCCAUGCCCUGUGGGAAUAUGAUCAUUAAUCUGUUCAUUGUCUUCCUCCUUUAUCUCAGGCUUCCUCAUUUGGCUAUUCCUAGGGUUUUUUUCCUUUCUUCUGUAACUUACAUGGUUUCUUAAGGCCAACUGUAUUAUAUUGUAUAAAUAGAAUGCCUCGAUGGAAAUUGAAUGAGGACCAUUUUCGUUGUAAUAUGCAGAGAGUUUUUACCCAAUUAAUGUCCAAUUAUCUGGAGAGAUUUGCUCUUCCUCUAAGAACCAAGGGGAGGUGCGUUUUAAUGUGCCCAGAAGUCUAGCUGCCUGUUCCCAAGUUAUAAGUAGCCCUUGAUCUUCUAUCAGCUUAAUCGUGCUUUCUAUAGUGCCACUCCUGGGUGGAGGUGAAGAAUCUUUAGCUAGGAUUUAUCCCAUUUCAACCAAAAAAGGUUAGUAGUUUAGUCUUUAAGAAAAUAAGUUCCCUAUUUGUCUAUUAUACUCACCUAAGUUCCUGGUCACUGGAGACUUCUUUAGUGAAAGUAAGGUCCUUGGUUCCCACACUUGGGCGCCAAAUCUAACCCUUUAUAUUAUUAACUUCUUGAUUUUUGACAAAGAUGCACUGGCUCUGGCAGACAGGUUUUAUAACCCACCAGAAGGGCAGUGUCCAGUGCGAGCCUCUCCAUUAUCUUUAGAUAAUCACCAGGUGAUGUGGAGAGACCCAGAAAGUGGUGAAUGGAAGGGACCGGAUAGGUUAACUGCUUGGGGAAGAGGGUUUGCUUGUAUCUCCACAGAGGGAGAAGGAAUCAGAUGGCUGCCAACGAGCCGUAUUCGCCUUGUCCAUUGGAGAGAGAUGGAGCAGACCCUUGAAACUAAGGAGAAGACCCAAGAAAUAUUGAGUGGUUCUGUUGCUGAUUGUGCCCACCACUGAAUGAGCAUGGCAAUUAUGGCGUUUGACUCAUGGACAUAGAAAAUUGUUGGACUUCAAAACCCUCAGGAAUCAUUGGAUUCUCUGAGACAUAAGACUUGAAAGCCCUCAGAAAUCACUGGAUUUUCUGAGAAAUGAUAGGACUGUUACAGGACUUCAAAAUCUGCUGGAAUCAUUGGGCUCCCUAACACAUAAAAAGACUUUUGCAGGACUUCAAAAACUUGGAUUCCCUGAUAUGUGAAGCAAUGGACAAUAGAUUGAUUUUGGACUAUCUCUUGGCAGCUGAAGAAGGUGUAUGUGUGACUGCUGUUUACAUACCCUCCUUCUAGGACUUUUGGCAAUCUUUUACAAUACCAUGUUGAUUUAUAUUGUUUGUUAUACGGUUACUUGCAUGUACAAUUCAUGUUUGUUACACCACAUCAAGCCUGCACUGACUGUGGGGAGAGUCAUCACUAAUAGCCUCUGCUUGUUGCUAUGUGCUUGUGUAAUACUUCCCAUGCUGAUGGGUUUGUGCAUAAUAAGACCCUUCAGCCCAGAAAACCGCUAGCAAACCCCACUUCCCUUUGGUGCUUUUCAUCUCCCUUCCUGAGAAGUCAGGGAGGGCGUGAUCAUCUCCUUUUUAGUGCUUUCACCUUCUUUCCUGAGAAGUCAGGGAGGGUGUGAUCACCUCCCCUUGGGGGCUCUGACCUCCCUGAGGAGUCAGGGAUGGCAUGAUCACCUGUGUUCUAAAACAAAAGAAAGUGGGAGAUGUAAUGGGCUGAGGCUUGAGUUGAUGCACUGAGGUCCCAAGCAUGUGAGGCUAAAUAGUAAUUGGACCAUACUCUGUUAAUAUAUAAGCUUGGAGAAAGAAUGGCCCCCGCCCACUCUUUGUGCAAGUCCUGAUGAGUUGUAUAGGAAAUAAUGAUUUUGGUGGGUGGAGGCAGGGGGGUAGAAAGGGAAAUGGAAAGAGAGACUGCUGGCUGGUUUCUUGACACAGCUACUCGCACUACUAUUAUGACUGCCCUUCACCUCCGAUUCCCCUUCACCUCUGCUGGCUCGCUUUGCUAUCGCAAUCCCCCUUCAACUCAAAAAGAAUAAAGAUUGAAGAUUUUUCUCUUAACCUGAA